GACGAACGCUGGCGGCGUGCUUAACACAUGCAAGUCGAACGGAAAGGCCCUGCUUUUGUGGGGUGCUCGAGUGGCGAACGGGUGAGUAACACGUGAGUAACCUGCCCUUGACUUUGGGAUAACUUCAGGAAACUGGGGCUAAUACCGGAUAGGAGCUCCUGCUGCAUGGUGGGGGUUGGAAAGUUUCGGCGGUUGGGGAUGGACUCGCGGCUUAUCAGCUUGUUGGUGGGGUAGUGGCUUACCAAGGCUUGGACGGGUAGCCGGCCUGAGAGGGUGACCGGCCACAUUGGGACUGAGAUACGACACAGACUCGUACGGGAGGCAGCGGUGGGGAAUAUUGCACAAUGGGCGGAAGCCUGAUGCAGCAACGCCGCGUGCGGGAUGACGGCCUUCGGGUUGUAAACCGCUUUCGCCUGUGACGAAGCGUGAGUGACGGUAAUGGGUAAAGAAGCACCGGCUAACUACGUG
rnacentral:rRNA from 1 species